UCAGGAUGAACGCUAGCGGCGCGCUUAAUGCAUGCAAGUCGAGCGAUGAGGUCUCCUUCGGGGGGCACAUCAGCGGCAGACGGGUGAGUAACACGUAGGUAACCUACCCCAGAGACAGGGAUAACCCUAGGAAACGAGGGCUAAUACCGGAUGACCUCCGGAAGGAGGAAAGGCUCAGGCGCUCUGGGAGGGGCUUGCGGCCCAUCAGCUAGUUGGUAGGGUAAAGGCCUACCAAGGCGAAGACGGGUAGGGGGUGUGAGAGCACGGCCCCCCACAAUGGGACUGAAACACGGCCCAUACUCCUACGGGAGGCAGCAGCAGGGAAUAUUGCACAAUAGGCGAAAGCCUGAUGCAGCGACGCCGCGUGAGUGAAGAAGGCCUUCGGGUCGUAAAGCUCUUUUGUAGGGGAAGAGGAAGGACGGUACCCUAAGAAGAAGCGUCGGCUAACUACGUGCCAGCAGCCGCGGUAAGACGUAGGACGCGAGCGUUAUCCGGAAUUACUGGGCGUAAAGGGCCAGCAGGCGGCUUGGUAAGUUGUGCGUGAAAGCCUCGUGCUCAACGCGAGGAAGCCGGACAAUACUGUCAAGCUAGAGGGCAUCAGAGGGGAGUGGAAUUCCCGGAGUAGCGGUAAAAUGCGCAGAUAUCGGGAGGAACACCGAUGGCGAAGGCAGCUCCCUGGGAUGCACCUGACGCUAAGAGGCGAAAGCUAGGGGAGCGAACAGGAUUAGAGACCCUGGUAGUCCUAGCUGUAAACGCUGGGUGCUAGGUGUGGGACGUAGAAGUUCCGUGCCGGAGCAAACGCGAUAAGCACC
rnacentral:rRNA from 1 species